AAGGUUUUCACACACUGUUGCUGGUAUUUUGGCCCAUUCCUCCAUGCAGAUCUCCUCUAGAGCAGUGAUGUUUUGGGGCUGUUGCUGGGCAACACGGACUUUCAACUCCCUCCAAAGAUUUUCUAUGGGGUUGAGAUCUGGAGACUGGCUAGGCCACUCCAGGACCUUGACAUGCUUCUUACGAAGCCACUCCUUCGUUGCCCGGGCGGUCUGUCAUAGUUGAAGUGUACCUAUGAUGAAAAUUACAGGCCUCUCUCAUCAUUUAUGUGGGAGAACUUGCACAAUUGGUGGCUGAGUAAAUACUUUUUUGCCCCACUGUAUGUCUCUAUGUUUUAUUCUUAGGGGAUUGUUUUACUUCAUGCAGGUCCUUGAGGGAGAUGGAGGGAUAAAUAACUUUGUGUGGUGAUAUGUUACAGGUCCUUGAGGGAGAUGGAGGGAUAAAUAACGUUGUGUGGUGAUAUGUUACAGGUCCUUGAGGGAGAUGGAGGGAUAAAUAACGUUGUGUGGUGAUCUGUUACAGGUCCUUGAUGGAGGGAUAAAUAACUUUGUGUGGUGAUAUGUUACAGGUCCUUGAGGGAGACGGAGGGAUAAAUAACGUUGUGUGGUGAUAUGUUACAGGUCCUUGAGGGAGACGGAGGGAUAAAUAACGUUGUGUGGUGAUAUGUUACAGGUCCUUGAGGGAGAUGGAGGGAUAAAUAACUUUGUGUGGUGAUAUGUUACAGGUCCUUGAGGGAGAUGGAGGGAUAAAUAACUUUGUGUGGUGAUAUGUUACAGGUCCUUGAGGGAGAUGGAGGGAUAAAUAACUUUGUGUGGUGAUAUGUUACAGGUCCUUGAGGGAGAUGGAGGGAUAAAUAACUUUGUGUGGUGAUAUGUUACAGGUCCUUGAGGGAGAUGGAGGGAUAAG
ensembl:lncRNA